AUGGAUCCAGCAGAUUGUAUUGCUGUCCGUUUUCAUUUCAAUGGGGAAUUUAUCAAUGACGGGAAGACAGUACAAUAUGUGGGGGGCAAAGAAGCAAUGUCCUUUUUAGAUCGAGCAAUCUUGAGCUUACAGAGAAUUCAACAAUGUUUGAGUGAGCAUUAUGUCACAGUGGACGGACAACAAUUGCACUGGCUCUUCCCUGGGAAGGAUUUAUUUGAUGGGUUGUUGAUGCUGUCUGAGGACAAGUCUGUUGAAACACUGUCAGCAUGUACAACAGAUGCAGGUGUGGCUGAUGUGUAUGUCGAGGAUCCAGCCAUGCAAGAUGAAGAAGUUAGUGAGGAAGAAGAUUGGGCUGAAGACGAGUAUGUAGCUACUGCUGAUGAGAAGAAGUCCGCAAAGGAAAAGCCAAUUGAUGUAGAAAGCAGCUCCGAUGAUAGUGACUUUGUGCCACCAGAUUGUUCAUCAGAUGACGAUGAGGCAGAUGCUAUUAGGCAAGAUUACAAGAAAUUCAAAAAGAGCAAGAAGAUGGCAGCUGAAAAACUUGCACUUGAGUAUGAGUUUGAAGCAUUGAAUGUAGUUAAACCUGAAGGCAAUUAUGAAGAUGACUCAAGUGCCGAAGAGGAUGAAUCUUAUGACGAGGAUAGUGAUGGUGAACUUAUCAAGCGUGAGUCUGAAUAUGCUAGGUUUAAUAGUAAAGCAGAAGUGAUCAAGUUCACCUUGGGUAUGACAUUUAGUGGGAAGAAGGAGUUCAAAGAUGCAAUCAUUCGUUAUGCACUGAAGGAAAGAAAAGAAAUCAAGUUCUUAAAAGAUGAGGGAGUCAGAGUAAGGGCAAAGUGCACAUGGCCUCAUUGUCCUUGGGUGUGUUUGUUGAGGAAAACAUCAAAGUUUGAAAGUUGGCAGAUUACUUCAUUUACUGAGGAACACACUUGUCCAAAAAGGAAAGAUAGUGCACUAGUUACAAGUAGACGGAUUGCAGAAAAGUUUGAGAGUUCGAUAAUGUCAAGUCCAGAAUGGUCAAUCCAGCAAUUAAAGUCAACCAUACAGGAAAAAAUGUUUGCAAAUGUGUCAAUAUCCAAAAUCAAGAGAGCAAAAGCACUUGUCAUUGGAAAAAUGCUUGCGGCUAAAGAGGGAGAGUACAACCAAGUGUUUGAUUACCAACUUGAGUUACUUAGAAGCAACCCUGGGACUACUUGUGUGGUCAAGCUUCACCCAGAUUUUGAAGAACCAACAUUCCACCACUUUUAUGUGUGCUUUGAUGCUUGUAAGAAGGGCUUCUUUGCAAAAAGGAAUAUUGAAUGUUGUUCACCACUGGGCUCCAAUGGCAGAGCAUAG
rnacentral:rRNA from 1 species